rnacentral:rRNA from 1 species
GAAAGCGUGGGUAGCGANCAGGAUUAGGUACCCUGGUAGUNCACGCCGUAAACGAUGAGUGCUAGGUGUUAGGCCCUUUCCGGGGCUUAGUGCCGGAGCUAACGCAAUAAGCACUCCGCCUGGGGAGUACGACCGCAAGGUUGAAACUCAAAGGAAUUGACGGGGGCCCGCACAAGCGGUGGAGCAUGUGGUUUAAUUCGAAGCAACGCGAAGAACCUUACCAGGUCUUGACAUCCCGAUGCUAUUCUUAGAGAUAGGAAGUUACUUCGGUACGUCGGAGACAGGUGGUGCAUGGUUGUCGUCAGCUCGUGUCGUGAGAUGUUGGGUUAAGUCCCGCAACGAGCGCAACCCUUAUUGUUAGUUGCCAUCAUUAAGUUGGGCACUCUAGCGAGACUGCCGGUAAUAAACCGGAGGAAGGUGGGGAUGACGUCAAAUCAUCAUGCCCCUUAUGACCUGGGCUACACACGUGCUACAAUGGUCGGUACAACGAGUUGCGAGCCGGUGACGGCAAGCUAAUCUCUGAAAGCCGAUCUCAGUUCGGAUUGGAGGCUGCAACUCGCCUCCAUGAAGUCGGAAUCGCUAGUAAUCGCGGAUCAGCACGCCGCGGUGAAUACGUUCCCGGGCCUUGUACACACCGCCCGUCACACCACGAGAGUUUGUAACACC